AUGGUGAAGUCGAUCUUUCAACUGAGCAUGGGGAAUAGUAGUGUAUAGCGUAGAAAAAUCAAAAGUCUUUAUGUUGCUGCAAAAUUGCAAAGAUUGUGAUCGAAGAUUAAGCAGUAGAUCUUUCGAAUUUUUGAGAAUCCACAUCUGGUUAACACCACUGGUAGAAUAUAUCUCAUCACAAUAUUUUUGAAGCCCAUCUUUAACUGUAGAAAGAAUAGUAGUCAGUACUUUAGAAAGAUGUUUAGUCGAACAUUUUGAAGAACCAGC
rnacentral:lncRNA from 1 species